UUGGGAAGUAGGAUAAUCCUGUGCUGCCAAGAAAAGCAUCGACGUGAGGUUUUAGCCGCCCGUACCCGAAACCGACACAGGUAGUCAGGUAGAGAAUACUAAGGCGAUCGAGAGAAUCGUGGUUAAGGAACUCGGCAAAAUGCCCCCGUAACUUUGGGAGAAGGGGGACCUAAACCCUGAAGGGCUUCACGUUCUAGGGGUGAGGGUCGCAGAGUCCAGGGAGAAGCGACUGUUUAUCAAAAACACAGGUCCGUGCGAAGCCGCAAGGCGAUGUAUACGGACUGACGCCUGCCCGGUGCUGGAAGGUUAAGCGGACCGGUCAGCCCACCUUGUGUGGGUGAAGCUGGGAAGUUAAGCCCCAGUAAACGGCGGUGGUAACUAUAACCAUCCUAAGGUAGCGAAAUUCCUUGUCGGGUAAGUUCCGACCUGCACGAAUGGCGUAACGACUUCUCUACUGUCUCGACCACGAACUCGGCGAAAUUGCAUUACGAGUAAAGAUGCUCGUUACGCGCAGAAGGACGGAAAGACCCCGGGACCUUUACUAUAGCUUGGUAUUGGUGUUCGGUACGGCUUGUGUAGGAUAGGUGGGAGACUGUGAAACUCAGACGCUAGUUUGGGUGGAGUCAUUGUUGAAAUACCACUCUGGCCGUGCUGCACAUCUAACCUCGGCCCGUGAUCCGGGCCAGGAACAGUGCCUGGUGGGUAGUUUAACUGGGGCGGUUCCCUCCUAAAAGGUAACGGAGGCGCUCAAAGGUUUCCUCAGCCUGGUCGGUAACCAGGUGUCGAGUGUAAGUGCACAAGGAAGCUUGACUGUGAGACUGACAGGUCGAACAGGUACGAAAGUAGGAACUAGUGAUCCGGCACUGGCUUGUGGAAGCGGUGUCGCUCAACGGAUAAAAGGUACCCCGGGGAUAACAGGCUGAUCCUGCCCAAGAGUUCAUAUCGACGGCAUGGUUUGGCACCUCGAUGUCGGCUCGUCGCAUCCUGGGGCUGGAGUAGGUCCCAAGGGUUGGGCUGUUCGCCCAUUAAAGCGGUACGCGAGCUGGGUUCAGAACGUCGUGAGACAGUUCGGUCCCUAUCCUCUGCGCGCGUUGAGAAUUGAGAAGGGCUGUCCCUAGUACGAGAGGACCGGGACGGACGAACCACUGGUGUGCCAGUUAUCCCGCCAGGGGUAUGGCUGGUUGGCUACGUUCGGGAAGGAUAACCGCUGAAAGCAUCUAAGCGGGAAGCCUGCUUCAAGACAAAUUCUCCCUCCAACAUUUGUUGGUGAAGGCCCCCGGAAGACUACCGGGUUGAUAGACCAGACGUGGAAGAGAAGUAAUUCUUGGAGCUGACUGGUACUAAUGGCCAACCAC
rnacentral:rRNA from 1 species